CCCGCCGGCGACCGGCGCACGGGUGAGUAACACGUAUGAAACCUGCCCGUAGCAGGGGGAUAAGCGGAAGAAAUUCCGUCUAAUACCGCGUAACAACCCAUGGAGGCAUCUCUGUGGGGUUUAAAGGAAGCGAUUCCGGCUACGGAUGGUCAUGCGUCGCAUUAGCUGUUGGCGGGUAACGGCCCACCAAGGCGACGAUGCGUAGGGGUUCUGAGAGGAAGGUCCCCCACACUGGUACUGAGACACGGACCAGACUCCUACGGAAGGCAGCAG
rnacentral:rRNA from 1 species